CAGGGUUUGACAUGGAGUUGCACCACCUGGAGACAGGUGUCCCUUCGGGGCGGCUCCACAGGUGCUGCAUGGCUGUCGUCAGCUCGUGCCGUGAGGUGUUGGGUUAAGUUCCGCAACGAGCGCAACCCCUGUCGUCGGUUGGAGAUGUCCGACGAGACUGCCGCGAUCAACGUGGAGGAAGGUGGGGAUGACGUCAAGUCAGCACGGCCCUUACAUCCUGGGCGACACACACGCUACAAUGGUCGGGACAACGGGAAGCCAACCAGCGAUGGGGAGCCAAUCCCACAAACCCGGUCUCAGUUCGGAUCGGAGGCUACAACCCGCCUCCGUGAAGUGGGAGUUGCUAGUAACCGCGGGUCAGCACACCACGGUGAAUACGUUCCC
rnacentral:rRNA from 1 species